UCGCCAUGCUCAUGUGGGUGUGGCUUACCUGCCUCACAGAGUUUACAAAGCAGAAGUUAGAGAGACUGACAGUCGGUUUUUGGAAGAGAGACAGGUGCUUCUGAAUUUAGUGACGAAGAUUUUCCCUUUUCCCCAUCAAGUCGUGUUAAUGUUUUGUCCGCGUCUUAAAUAUCUACAAAUGAACUGUCAACUGAGUGUGGACGCUGAUUAGCGCCGUACCAAGGAGUGAGCUGGUCGGCUACGACGACAGAAUUACAGAAAGCGGUGCAGUCACAAAAGCGAGGCGCUUGACCUAAGGCACAGACAAACAUGGUUACAGCAGCAGAGGCAUCCUGAUUUCUUCCAGGGAGGAUGUGGAUGUACACCUCACAAAUCCGCCACUGGAGGGCUCCACAUCCCCACAAACAUCUCGACCUGAUGUGGACAAAAUCAACAUGAGAGGUUUGGGUCUCUCUGCGCGGCCCUGGGACUGGUCAAGCCCCAGGACUGAGCGUUCCAGCCAAUCACAGUGCCGUCCUCGCAGA